rnacentral:rRNA from 1 species
GUGGGGAAUAUUGGACAAUGGCCGGAAGGCUGAUCCAGCCAUGCCGCGUGAAGGAUAAGGUCCUAUGGAUUGUAAACUUCUUUUGAGUGGGAGCAAUAAGGAUGUCGUGACAUCCGAUGAGAGUACCAUUCGAAUAAGCAUCGGCUAACUCCGUGCCAGCAGCCGCGGUAAUACGGAGGAUGCGAGCGUUAUCCGGAUUUAUUGGGUUUAAAGGGUGCGUAGGCGGUUUUUCAAGUCAGCGGUGAAACGCAAGGGCUCAACCCUUGACCUGCCGUUGAAACUGUUGGACUAGAAUGCGGAUGCUGUGGGAGGAAUGUGUGGUGUAGCGGUGAAAUGCAUAGAUAUCACACAGAACACCGAUUGCGAAGGCAUCUCACAAAUCCGUGAUUGACGCUGAGGCACGAAAGUGUGGGGAUCAAACAGG